rnacentral:lncRNA from 1 species
CUUUUUCUUAAGUCUGUUUGCAUGAUUCUAGUUAUUGAAUCGGUAGAAAAGAUGAACAUGUAGCUAGCAGACCAGGGUUUAUUUUCUUGUGUAAGAAUAUUAGAUGCUUGUUGAAAUUUCCAAUUUUGAAUUAUGCACAAAGAUGGACCUUUAACAGGUUGGGAACAACACUCCAAAUGAGGGGUAACCCUCAUUGGAAGAACAUUACAACCCACUGUAAAAAAUGAGCACCUUUAUAUUCAUAUUAUUUGAUGAAACUUUUCCCCAAGAACUAUGCAUCUAUCAAGUAUUAAAUGGUCAAAACAUGUCAAAAGAAUUUUGUGAUGUUUCUCAACUUAUAUCUUCUUUAUUAAUUUGACC